rnacentral:rRNA from 1 species
AGAGUUUGAUUAUGGCUCAGAACGAACGCUGGCGGCGCGUUUUAAGCAUGCAAGUCGAGCGGCAAGGGUCUUCGGGCCCCUAGAGCGGCGGACGGGUGAGUAACACGUGGACAAUCUGCCCCCCGGCCGGGGAUAGCCCAGGGAAACCUGGAUUAAUACCGGAUGAGACGGGACCCGCGGAGGCGGGAUCCGGGAAAGGCGCUGCGGCGCCGCCGGGGGAUGAGUCUGCGUCCCAUUAGCUUGACGGCGGGGUAACGGCCCACCGUGGCGACGAUGGGUAGCCGGCCUGAGAGGGUGGACGGCCACAUUGGAACUGAGACACGGUCCAGACUCCUACGGGAGGCAGCAGCUAAGAAUCUUCCGCAAUGGGCGAAAGCCUGACGGAGCGACGCCGCGUGAACGAAGAAGGCCGUGAGGUUGUAAAAUUCUUUUCGGGAGGGAGAACAACCGUGGCAGGGAAUGGCCGCGGGAUGACGUGAAUCCCGGAAUAAGCCCCGGCUAACUACGUGCCAGCAGCCGCGGUAACACGUAGGGGGCGAGCGUUGUUCGGAAUCAUUGGGCGUAAAGGGCGUGCAGGCGGUCCUGCAAGUCCGGCGUGAAAGACCCCGGCCCAACCGGGGGGGCGCGCUGGAAACUGCAGGGCUUGAGUACAGGAGGGGAUGCCGGAAUUCCAGGUGUAGGGGUGAAAUCUGUAGAUAUCUGGAGGAACACCAAUGGCGAAGGCAGGCAUCUGGCCAUGUACUGACGCUGAGACGCGAAGGUGCGGGGAGCAAGCAGGAUUAGAUACCCUGGUAGUC